rnacentral:rRNA from 1 species
ACAAUGAAGAGUUUGAUCCUGGCUCAGGAUGAACGCUAGCUACAGGCUUAACACAUGCAAGUCGAGGGGCAUCAGGAAGAAAGCUUGCUUUCUUUGCUGGCGACCGGCGCACGGGUGAGUAACACGUAUCCAACCUGCCCUUUACUCGGGGAUAGCCUUUCGAAAGAAAGAUUAAUACCCGAUGGGAUAAUUAUUCCGCAUGGUUUGAUUAUUAAAGGAUUCCGGUAAAGGAUGGGGAUGCGUUCCAUUAGGUUGUUGGUGAGGUAACGGCUCACCAAGCCUUCGAUGGAUAGGGGUUCUGAGAGGAAGGUCCCCCACAUUGGAACUGAGACACGGUCCAAACUCCUACGGGAGGCAGCAGUGAGGAAUAUUGGUCAAUGGGCG